GGGCCAUAUCACGUUGAAACACUGGUUUCCGUACAAUCACCGAAGUUAGGCUACGUUGAGCCUGGUCAGUACUUAGAUGGGUGACCACUUGAGAAUAUAAGUUUCUG